rnacentral:rRNA from 1 species
AGGGCAGCCAAGUCGUGAGGCGGAGCUAAUCCCUUAAAGCCAUUCCCAGUUCGGAUUGUAGGCUGAAACUCGCCUACAUGAAGCUGGAGUUACUAGUAAUCGCAGAUCAGAAUGCUGCGGUGAAUGCGUUCCCGGGUCUUGUACACACCGCCCGUCACACCACGGAAGUUGGGGGCGCCCGAAGCCACUUAGCUAACCCUUUUGGGAAGCGAGUGUCGAAGGUGAAAUCAAUAACUGGGGUGAAGUCGUAACAAGGUACC